UAAACAACCUCAUCUCAAAUUAAUAUUAUUAAAACCAUAAAUUAUCUUAAUAGCCACAUUCUACAUAAAUACUUCGGUCUGCCAGAAAAACUAGGCGAGACCCGAAGCUCAGAAAAAUUUACAACUGAUACAUUUACUAUUACUACUGCGGAGAAUCUAAGAUUUACCAUUUUACAUACCAAAUCAAAUACAUCACCCGAUGAUGAAGGAGUCGGGUUACUGAAUAAGAGUUGCGGGAGAACUAACAGUCACGAAUCUGAAAAAAAACAUAAAUGGAGACUGUCAGUCUCGAGAGUGAGUUAAAAUCAUAUAUCUAAAACAGUUUCAAAUAUCUCAAUGUCACAUUCAUUUAAUUUUAAAAUAAUUAAUAAAUCACGCGAACCAUACGUGUCAUGUUAAAACAUAUGUGUCAUGCCAUGCUUAAACAAAAUUUAUUCCACAUGCAACGGGACAGAGUACUUCAGUAGAACUCUAAUCCCAACUCUAAAAUCUCGAUUAUUUCAACACUUAUGUCUCAACUAACCUCAACUCUAUCAUCUCAAACCUCUCAUUCCAACAGGACUGGCGCCCAGAGAGCAAAGCUCGACCAGGGACCUUACCUCCAGUCCGGUCACUUAACUCUCAGCCUUAGCCUUUUGGCUCUCUUAUCCAAUAAGACUGGCGCCCCGAGAGCAAAGCUCGACCAGGGACCUUACCUCCAGUCUGGUCACUUAAAUAUCCAAAUAAGAAAUCUAGUAGCCAUUCGGCUCUCUUAAUCCAAUAAGACUGGCGCCCCGAGAGCAAUGCUCGACCAGGGACCUUACCUCCAGUCUGGUCACUUAAAUUUCCAAAUAAGCCGGCGCCCCGAGAGCAAUGCUCGACCAGGGACCUUUACUCCGGCAACCACACUCUACUAAGCCCAGAGAGCGAUGCUCGACCAGGGCAGGUCCUAAUCUUUCUUUCUCAAAUUUUUUACCUCUUUACCCUUUUCUUAUCUCUCUCAUAUUAUAUUGGACACUCAUCCAACUCCUAUGUUCUACUGCCGUCCCAUCCUGAGUCAUCAUGCAAUAUUAAAAUUGGUAAUAAAGGAAAAACAUAUUUAAAUAGUAAUUAAAAGCAUCAUGCAAAUGAUAAUAAUAAUAAUUGAAUGAAAAAUUGAAAUUUCAAAUAAAUAUUCACAGUAGCAAAUCAAAUUUUAUGCAUGACACGUGCGUAAACGAUAUAUGACUUUAACUCACAGAAUUAGGCGACCUCCU
rnacentral:lncRNA from 1 species